CUCGAUUGUACCCGCCGUCUCUUCCACACAACAGAAGAAAGUUUAGCAACCAUGUCAUACCAUGUUGAAAGGACGUGCAGCUCCCCUGUCACUGGCCAAUGCCCGGGCAAGUUGAUCUGGCCAGAGUUGUUGGGCAGGAAGGGCAAGGAGGCAAAAGAUGUGAUUGAGAAAGAGAGACCUUCCACCGAUGCCAUUUACGUUCCCCAAGAUGCCGUUGUUACCGGUGACUACUGUUGCAAUCGCGUUAGGAUCUUCGUGGCUGCCACGCCCAAUGGUGACUAUGCAAACGCCAAGGUGAUUGCGGUUCCAAGAGUUGGGUGAUUCACAUGCUAUAUGAUCAGAGGAUGCAUCAACUGAUGGCAUGAAAUAUAUCUUAGUAGAUUCAUGUUAUGAGAAAUAAAAGUAAUGGCCUUAUAUUAAUAAAGCAUUCUCUCUUUUGUUA